CCUGGCUCAGGACGAACGCUGGCGGCGUGCUUAACACAUGCAAGUCGAACGAAGAGCGAUGGAAGCUUGCUUCUAUCAAUCUUAGUGGCGAACGGGUGAGUAACGCGUAAUCAACCUGCCCUUCAGAGGGGGACAACAGUUGGAAACGACUGCUAAUACCGCAUACGAUCUGACCUCGGCAUCGAGGAUAGAUGAAAGGUGGCCUCUACAUGUAAGCUAUCACUGAAGGAGGGGAUUGCGUCUGAUUAGCUAGUUGGAGGGGUAACGGCCCACCAAGGCGAUGAUCAGUAGCCGGUCUGAUAGGUUUCACCGCCACAUUGGGACUGAGACAAGGCACAGACUCCUACGU
rnacentral:rRNA from 1 species